UUUUUUUUUUUUUUUUUUUUUUUUCUUCCGUC
rnacentral:ribozyme from 13 species